GCUGCUUGCUCAGGCAGCACAUAUGAAAAAUUAGGAUACAGAGAAGAUUAGCAUGGCCCCUCCGAAAGGAUUACACGCACAUUCGUGAAUCAGGCUCUUUAGAU